CUCCGGUUGAUCCCGCCGGACCCGACUGCUAUCGGAUUGAGAUUUAGCCAUGCGAGUCGAACGUUCCCCUGUUGCGGGGAGCGUGGCGUACGGCUCAGUAACACGUAGUCAACCUGCCCUGGAGACAAGGACAACCCCGGGAAACUGGGAUUAAUCCUUGAUAGGUCAUCUCAUCUGGAAGGAGAGAUGGCUUAAAGGGGUACGCGGGCUUCUUCCGCGAAUUCGCUCCAGGAUGGGACUGCGUCCGAUCAGGCUGUUGGCGGGGUAAUGGCCCACCAAACCUGUAACCGGUACGGGCCUUGAGAGAGGUGGCCCGGAGAUGGACACUGAGAGAAGGGUCCAGGUCCUACGGGGCGCAGCAGGCGCGAAACCUUCGCAAUGCGCGAAAGCGUGACGAGGUUAAUCCGAGUGACUCCCGCUGAGGGGGUCUUUUGUCAGCUGUAAAUAGGCAGGCGAAUAAGGGGAGGGCAAGCCUGGUGUCAGCCGCCGCGGUAAUACCAGCUCCUCGAGUGGUCGGGGCGAUUAUUGGGCCUAAAGCAUCCGUAGCCGGUUCCGUAGGUCCUCUGUUAAAUCCAACCGCUCAACGGUUGACCUGCAGAGGAUACCGCGGGACUAGGAGGCGGGAGAGGCGGACGGUACUCCGCGUGUAGGGGUAAAAUCCUUUGAUCCGCGGAAGACCACCAGUGGCGAAGGCGGUCCGCCAGAACGCGCUCGACGGUGAGGGAUGAAAGCUGGGGGAGCGAACCGGAUUAGAUACCCGGGUAGUCCCAGCCGUAAACGAUGCUAGCUAGAUGAUUCAUUCGCAAGUCGCGAAUGAAGUGUCGCAGGGAAGCCGUUAAGCUAGCCGCCUGGGGAGUACGGUCGCAAGACUGAAACUUAAAGGAAUUGGCGGGGGAGCA
rnacentral:rRNA from 1 species